GACAGAGGUGCCGAGCGUUAGGCGGAAUCACUGGGCUUAAAGCGUGUGUAGGCGGGUGCCUAAGUACCUUGUGAAAUCCCACGGCUCAACCGUGGAACUGCUUGGUAUACUGCUUAUUUUGGGCCACUUAGGGGUUACCGGAACAAACGGUGGAGCGGUGAAAUGCGUAGAUAUCGUUUGGAACGCCAAUGGUGAAAACAGGUAACUGGGAGUGUGCCGACGCUGAGACACGAAAGCCAGGGGAGCGAACGGG
rnacentral:rRNA from 1 species